rnacentral:lncRNA from 1 species
AUUGGGUUCACCAGCAGCAUUCCAACACAAGGUGGAAACAGUACAUCUGAAACUGGGCUCAAGCGGGGCCUAAAAGCGUAACUAAGCUGCACAAACAAGUAGUUCAGGAUGACAUAUCUGCUGCCACUCUUACAUCAACACUUUCCCUUCAGUUCAUAUCUAUAGCUUCUAGAAGUUUCCCUAAGAUCAGCUGAUGGAGGAGGAAAAAUCCUCAUCUUGGUGUGUUAAUAUAGGUUGAAAAUAGAUUGCUGCUUACUCCAGCCCACUUGGGCUGAAAAAUGGUGAUAGAGGAAAAUUCUCCUGGUGGGUAGAGCUUCAGAUGGUGCUCCUGGUUAUCUACUCUUUGUGGAGAGAAAACGGCCCUCAGAAAAUGUGAUACACAGAUUCAUGGGCAGUGGCAAAUGGCCUGGCUGGGAAAGAGCAAGACUAGAAAAUCAUGAAGAAGUAGGUCUGGAGAAGACGCAUGUGCAUAGAUCAAUAGGAGUGGGCAAGAAGCACUGGUUAAUGUCCACCAGAGGAUAGCUACUGCAGAUCAGGCACAACCAACCAAGGGACAGGAAGAGUCACCCAGCAGAUGCCAACUAGCUCCUAUCCUCAGCCACACCGGCCCUUGCACAGUUGGCUUAUGAACAGAAUAGCCUUGGUGGCAGCAAUGGGAGUUAUGCAUGAGUUCAAUAGUGUGGGUUUCCUCUCCUCAAAGCUGAUCUAGGUACUGCUACUGCUGCCCAUCCAAACACCAGUAACGAAGAGCAACGCUGAGUCCUCCUCACAGUGCAACCCCUUGAGAGAACCAACAGCUACUUGGUGGUAAAAUGAUUAUAUCAGAUUCCCUUCAUGCUGGAAAGAGCAACGACUGAUCACCCUGGACAUGACUGUAUUUAUCAUAACCUGAGGACCAUCUGCGACAAUCAAGAGGACGUGGAAAUCCGGGAAGGUAGUCCACUAGAUAAAAGGAGCCUGGGUUCCUGGGUCACCAUGGGGAAGACUGCUACCAAUCAGGAACACUUGUACUGUUAAAUGAGUGAGAAAUAAACUGUGAUAGUGUUUAGUCAC